CUGCAUCUUGCAGCUGCUUGCCCAAGGACUGUAUGUAACCAAGACCCUUUCUCUCUUUGGCAAGGUGUCACUGUGAGCAGUAUGUCUCCGCUGAAGAGCUGUGUGACCGAGAGUGCUUGCUGAACACCCCACAGAUCUCUCUGAGCCUUGGCAUCCAUUCAGAGCUCCUCCUGAGUGUUGAGGAAGGAGAGGACAGAGAGAUUUUUGGUUGGAUCUGCCAUUGCAGAGAGUUCGGCGUGGCGAGCAGACUGCCUCCUCCAAGGACACCCAUCCCUUACCCUGCAUCCCCAACCCUAUUGUGUGUUUGAAU
rnacentral:lncRNA from 1 species